rnacentral:rRNA from 1 species
CUACGUAGGGGGCGAGCGUUGUCCGGAAUGAUUGGGCGUAAAGGGCGCGUAGGCGGCCCGGUAAGUCUGGAGUGAAAGUCCUGUUUUUAAGAUGGGAAUUGCUUUGGAUACUGUCGGGCUUGAGUGCAGGAGAGGUAAGUGGAAUUCCCAGUGUAGCGGUGAAAUGCGUAGAGAUUGGGAGGAACACCAGUGGCGAAGGCGACUUACUGGACUGUAACUGACGCUGAGGCGCGAAAGUGUGGGGAGCAAACAGGAUUAGAUACCCUGGUAGUCCACACUGUAAACGAUGAAUGCUAGGUGUAGGGGGUAUCGACCCCUUCUGUGCCGCAGGCAACACAAUAAGCAUUCCGCCUGGGGAGUACGGCCGCAAGGUUCAAACUCAAAGGAAUUGACGGGG